AUCCAUCUGACGAGUCCCAAACAGGACGAAACGCGCGUCCUGGAU
rfam:Schistosoma margrebowiei strain Zambia genome assembly, scaffold: SMRZ_scaffold0001707